CUCAGAGUGAGAGGGGGCGCUGUGUCUACGGAAGCAGGGUCAGAGGAGAGAUGAUGGCGGAAGCAGAAAAGAGAAAAAAAGAAAUCUGAAGAUGCUCUGCUGCUGGCUUUGGUGGUGGAAGGAGGACUGUGAGCCAGAAAAUAUAUAUGACCUCUGGAGGCAGGAAAAACAGAGGAAACUAAUCCUUCCCUGGAGCCUCCAGGAGGAGUAUAGCCCUGCUGAUACCUUGGUUUUUAUGGCUUCUGACCUCUGAAAAUUUCCAGGAAUGAAACAACUUGCUGCCUCCCAUGUCUCUUCCCUUACCCUGCCCACUCCUCUGAAAAGAUUUCCUUCGUUGAAGUCUCUUCAUUUGAACCAUCUGGGGUGAUGUGUUUUCUGACAGAAUUCUGAUUGGUACUCCUGAAACCUUGAUGAAUUAGGACAAUAAAAGCUUACUCCUCACACAUUUGACACAAGGCAGAUUAACUCCCUUUCAUCUUGGAGCUUUGCCAUCUGGACCAUGUGGUCUCCAACACAAAGCAGAAAAAAGAGUGAAUUGGAAGAUUGCAAGGGUCU